GCAGCUGUCAGAAGCGAAAGCGAAACCGUUGAGCCUUGUCAGGAGAGACCCUGGCGGACCGAGGGGAGAGCUGAGAGGGUGAGCAGCUCUAGGCUCAGCGCUCGACGGGAAGCCCUCUGAGCAGCGCCCCCCGCCCCGCGGAUCCUGGGCGCCAUGCGGCUCCCUGACCCGCGGCCCUGGGCCUCCCUGCUGCUGGUGGACUUGGCCUUGCUCUGGCUGCUAGAGGGGGCGCUGGGGGCUCUGCUUCCCCGAGGGCUCCUGGGACUGUGGCUGGAGGGGGCCCUGCGGCUUGGGGGGCUGUGGGGGCUGCUAAAGCUGGGAGGUCUGCUGGGAUUUCGGGGGGCCUUGCUGGCCCCGCUCUGCCUGGCGACGCCCCUGUUCCUCUCCCUGGGAGCCCUGGUGGGAGGGACCCCGAGGGCGCCCCCCGUCAGAGUGGCCGGGGCCUCCCGGAGCUGGCUGCUGGCCGGGUACGCGGCUGCAGGGCUGAGCCGGGCCGCGUGGGCUGGGAUGAGCCCCCCGGGAGCCCCGGCGAGGGCGCCCGGCCUGGAGAAGAACCGAGCACUGGUGUGCAGGCUGCUGCGGCUCUCCGCGCCCGACCUGCCCUUGCUGGCGGCCGCCUUCUCCUUCCUGGCGGCUGCCGUGUUGGGGGAGAUGCUGAUCCCUCACUAUUCUGGCCGCGUCAUCGACAUCCUGGGGGCGGAUUUUGACCCCGACGCCUUUGCCAGCGCCGUCUUCCUCAUGUGCCUGUUCUCCGUCGGGAGCUCACUGUCUGGAGGCUUCCGAGGAGGCUUCUUUACCCUCAUCAUGUCCAGAAUCAACCUGCGGAUCCGAGAGAAGCUUUUCUCCUCCCUGCUGCGUCAGGACCUCGGCUUCUUCCAGGAGACUAAGACAGGGGAGCUGCACUCCAGGCUGAGCUCGGACACCACCCUCAUGAGCUUCUGGCUUCCUUUAAACGCCAACAUCAUCCUCCGGAGCCUGGUCAAAGUGGUGGGGCUGUACGGCUUCAUGUUCACCAUUUCGCCACGCCUCACCCUCCUGUCUCUGCUCGACCUGCCCGUGAUGCUGACUGCUGAUAAGGUGUACACCACUCGCCGGCAGGCCCUGCUGCUGGAGAUCCAGGACGCAGUGGCCAAGGCAGGGCAGGUGGUGCGGGAGGCAGUUGGAGGGCUGCAGACCGUGCGCAGUUUUGGGGCCGAGGAGCUUGAGGUCUGGCGCUAUAAGGAGGCCCUGGAGCGAUGCCGGCAGCUGUGGUGGCGUCGAGACCUGGAAAAAGGCCUGUACGAUCUGGUCAGGAAGCUGCUGAACCUGGGAGCGCAGGUGCUGGUGCUGAGCUGUGGGCUGCAGCAGAUCGCGGCCGGCGAGAUCACCCGCGGUGCGCUGCUGUCCUUUCUGCUCUACCGCAAGGACGUGGGGCCCUAUGUGCACUCCUUGGUGUACAGGUACGGGGACAUGCUAAGCAACGUGGGAGCUGCUGAGAAAGUGUUUUCCUACCUGGACAGAGAGCCCCGGCUGCCUCAGCCCGGGACACUGGCCCCUGCGGCGAUUCGGGGCCUCGUGGAAUUCAGAGAUGUCUCCUUUGCAUAUCCCAGUCGCCCUGACCAGCCGGUGCUCCAGGGCCUGACAUUCACCCUGCGUCCCGGGGAGGUGACGGCCCUGGUGGGACCCAAUGGCUCUGGGAAGAGCACCGUGGCUACCCUGCUGCAGAAUCUGUACCAGCCCACGAAGGGCCAGGUGCUGCUGGACGAGAAUCCUGUCUCAGAAUACGAGCACCACUACCUGCACAGACAGGUGUCUGUGGUCGGCCAGGAGCCUGUGCUGUUCUCAGGCUCUGUGAGGGACAACAUCACCUACGGGCUGCAGAGCUGUGAGGACGCUAAGGUGGUGGCUGCUGCCCAGGAGGCCCUUGCCUACCGCUUCAUAGAGGAGCUGCCGGACGGAAUGCACACGGAUGUAGGUGAGAAAGGGAGCCAGUUGGCUGUGGGGCAGAAACAGUGUCUGGCCGUCGCCCGGGCCCUUGUGCGGGACCCACGCGUCCUCAUCCUGGAUGAGGCCACCAGUGGCCUGGACGUCUGCUGUGAGCAAGCUAUAAUCCUAUGAAGCAGAGAAUACUAUCCUAAUUCUAGGAAUGAGAAAAUGGAGUUUUAGACUGGGUUACACAGGUCAUGAUGGCCAGGAAGCAGAGAGAGACGAGUGGAUCUAGGGAAGGAGAUAAUCUUUCUAGUCAUACCAUGACCCUCUUCUAACCAGGUGCCACCUCCUAACAGCACACUCAGCUGUUCAACUCAUUGGUGGACAAAUCCACAGAUGAGUAUUGCACUCUCAUGGUCUGAUCACUUUCCACAAGACUUGCUCUGCAUGCAUGAGAGUUUAGGGGACAUUCUAGAUGUAAACUCUAACAUUCUGCCCCGGCCCCUGGCCAUCUCUUAAUGCAAAAUGCAUUUAGUCCAUCAACCUUUUAACAAUACCAACAUUACUGGAAAGCACAAGUCCUAAGCCUCCUCUGAGACUCAAGAGGAGCCCCUGUUACAAUAAAACAGAAACUUAGCUGUGAGGCUCUGUUACAAUAAAAAAGAAUGUUAGAACACAAUAUACAGUGGCACAGGAUAAGUGUUCCCAUUGCAAAAGGGAGAAAUAAGGGAAUAUAUAGAAAUGAGACCAAAGGAAGACAAAAACCCACCAGGGCAAACAUUAAAUCCUGUAGCUCUGUGACUGGACCCUGGGUAAGUUGUGACAGGUGAUCUUCAAAAGGCUUGGGAGUCUUGCUCCUAUGGUGUUGCUUGUAGCAAGUCUCUUGGUCUCUCUCUUGGAGUGACUCCACUCAGAGCCUCUGUCUUUCCUUAGCAGAUACUCCGUGUUUCUGUUAUCCCCAACUUCCCGGGUCUCCACUGUAGUUUCAGCUUCACUCUCACAGCUUCACACACUGCCCUCUCAAGGCACACUGCCUAGUCUCCAGAAUCUUCUUCUGAAAUGCGGGUGGAAGUCUCCCUGACACCACAAUUCUUGCAUUCUGCCUUCUUGUUAAACUGGGACCAACCACAUGGAUGAUGCCUUAGUCUGCCCCUAGCUCUAGCAGUAGCCAGGAUCCCUUGGAUCAUGGCUAUAACAACCUAUGAAUGCCUGGAUACUUGAACUCCAGGAAACCUGGAGUUUGAGUUGGCCUUGAAUGAACUGGGUGGGCUCCCUGGAAAUUCUUUCUCAAUACAAAGUUUUUCACUUUUGCACUUUUAAGCCAAGGAAGGCUGGGGUCUUGCUGAUUCCUGAGAUGUCCUCAAAGCAUCUUUCCUUUUGUCCUGAUACAAAGUACUUGGCUUCUUUUUAAUGCUAAACUGUUCAGCAGCCCCAACUUUACAGGCCCAGACUUUACAGGUGCUUCCUUUCUGGCCAUCAGGGACAAAUUUCAAAUUAGUCAUUCCUGCUUUUUGGUCCUUAUUAUCACCAUAGAUAUGGCUCAAAGCAGCCAGCAAAUCCCUUGCCACAGACUCAGUGUUGGGCUACCUGGGACUUCCUCAUUCAGAUUAAUUAGCCCAUCACUUUUGAUUUCCCACAACGUCUUGGAACAAAAAUAGAGACAAAUUUUCUGCCAGAGCAUAACACACAUGGCCUUGGAUCCAGUUGCCAAUGGAGUCCUUGUUGCCAGCUGAAACUUCCUGAGCCCAGCCUUUACUGUUCACAUUUCUAUUGGGAUUCUGGUCUUCUGAGCUCUGACCAGAAGAAUCUCCCAUCAAUCUGGUUUGGCUCGCGGCAUUCUAGGGCUUCUCUAGCUGGGAUCUCCAAACCUUUUCAAACUGCUCCCAUAAACCAGUUCCAAUUUUUUCUCAACCAAAUGGUCAGGUAGAGUCAUAUCAACAACCCUAGUUCCUUGGUACCAAAGUCUAUCUUAGUCACUUCCUUCAUUGGUGAGACAAAAUCCCUGAUACCCACAACUUAAAUGAGGAGAGGUUUAUUUGGGCUCAUGGUUUUUUGAGGCAUUAGUCCAUAGUUGGCUGGCUCCAAGACAGAAUGGCAUAGCAUAAGGGAGGAGUGGAGGAAAGCUCCUCACUUCAUGGUGGCCAGGGAGAAGAGAGGAAGGAGGAGCCGUGGAGGAAGGUAUACCUUUCCUAGUCACACCCUCAGUGACCCUUCUCUAACAAGAACCUACCUCCUAACAACACAUUCAGCUGCUCAACUCAUUAAUGAAUGAAUCAGUUGAUGAAUAUAACACUCUCAUAAUCCAGUCAUGUAUUACAAGGCCUGCCUCUGCAUGCAUGAGGGUUUUGGGGGAACAUUCAUGAUCUAAACCCUAACACCUUGCUAAGUAUCUGAAAAGCUACAAUUUAAAUAAGCACAAGGAAAGCAUAGUGAAAGAUUAAAAAAAAAGAAAUACUCAUAUUAACAGUGUACAUAGUAGAAGAGAAUAAUGUUUUGGUCCAUUUUGUGUUGUUAUAAAAAGAUGCUGAAGUCUGGGUAUUAUAUAAAGAAAAGAGGUUUAUUUAACUCAUAGUUCUGGAAAUCCAAGAGCACUGUGCUGGCAUCCCAGCUGGGCUCCCCCAUGGCUGUGUCACAACAUGGAGAAGCAGAAAUGGAACUGGCUGUGUGCAGAAGGAGUCAAAUACAUGGGUUGACUUUGCUUUAUAAUAACCUAUUCUCUCUAGAAGUAACUCGCUCCAGGAAGCCAGCAUUAAUCCCUUCUGAGGCAGUAUCACCCAGAUUAUCUUCCCCUACUUCUCCCUCUUAUAGGUUCCACCACCUCUCAGCAUCUCUACUCAGCUUGAAGGGCACUGUUGGCAGACACAGUCAAAGCACAUCCAAAAUAUAGCAAUAAUAUCUCCAAAUCACACUAAAUCUAGUUUCUAUAUUAACAAUUGUAAAUGGGUUUAAAUCAAUUAUAUAACUACUUUAUAUUUAUAUUAAAAUAAAAACUCUGUUGUAUGUAAUAUAUAAGAUAUACCUAAAAUGAAGUGACUCAGAAAGAUUUGUUCAACAACUAAAAUGAUGGGCAAAGACAUGAGAGACUGCAAACCAAAAAGUAGCAGAGGGUACAAUCUUAUUAUUAAGUAAGGUAAAAUAUAGAUGAAAAAGUUGAAUGACACAACAAGAAUACAAAUGUAAAUUUUAUAGGGAUAUAGAAGAGACAUAUAUUUAAGUUCUAAAUAACAAACAACUCUCAUAAAGGAGAAAGUAAGAUCGAUACAAGGAAAAUAUUCAAAUAUAUACUACUAUUAAGGAAUUUGAAUCCCCUUUUCCAGGACUAGACAGGUCAAUUGGACAAAAAUAAAUAUGAAACAGAAAACAUUACUGACAGUCAAAAACUAGAGAGCUGGGAGUGUAGUACAGUGGCAGAGCAUGUGCACAAAGCCCUGGAUUUGACACUUACCCUAGCCCAAAACAAAACAAAACAAAAUCAAAUAUUAUGGAGUAUAUUGGACUCAAUUCACUGAAAACAGACCAUGCCUCUAUCCAACUUUCAACAAGGCAUUCAUGAAAGUAAAUCAAAUAUUAUGGCAUAAAUCUUCAAUCAGUUUAGAAAAGUAGGAAUGAUAUAGAAAUUAUUCUUUGACUGUUAUGAAACAAGCUAGGUAACAGUAAGAAAAUCAGACAAGAUAAAAUGCUUCUUCAUGUGGAUACUUAAAGAUAUUGGCUCUUUCUUUUACCAGAUAGAAAAACAUAAACAAAAAUUUCUUGAAAAAUGAUAAUUAAAAUCACAUAAAUAUUUUGGGAUAUAGCUAAAGCAGUGCUUAUCACUUUAUAGCCUUAAGUACUCAUAUAAAAAAAGGAAAAAGGAAACCAAAUGAAUUAAGUAGAAACAUUAACAUCAAUCAAAUAAAAGCAGUAGAUAAUAAACAACAGAAACUGAUAAGUUAGAAAAAUAAAAUGUAAAAUGAAUAAAUUCAGAAGCUUUAGAAAAUUCCAGUUUGACAAACCAAGAAAGACAAAUAUAGAGAAGUUUAAAGUAAAGAAAAUAAAUAACAAAGACAAAAUUAAAGCAGUAACAAAGGGAAAAUAAUGAGAUUUUUUUUUGUUCAAUUUUAUGGAAAUAAAUUUGAAAACUUGGGUUACAUGAAUACUCCCUUGAAAAAUAUAACAUAUCAAAUUAAGCUCUAUUUUCACAGAAAAAUAGAGAAAGUUGUAAAAAGAUUACCACCCAAGCUCUAUGCCCAUAUUUAGGGUAAUGUGUAACAAAAUCUUUAAAGGAAAAAAAGAUAAUUCAAAAUUUAAAACAACUCAAUAAUACAAAAUAAUUCUUUUAGUGAAGUUAAUUAUGUUAAACUAUGAUAAUGCACAAAAAUAAAAGCUAUAGAUGAAUUUAUUUUAUAUUGAUGAAAACAUCCUAAAUAAAAUAUUGCAGAUUCUAGCACAAUUAAACACACAUACACUGGGAUUAUGUUAAAUAGAAUGGCUGGAAAUCCUUUUUGAAGUUCAUUAUAUUAGUGAUUAUUUUCUUUAUUUUGGUACCGGGGAUCAAACUCAGAUCCUUGAGCUUGCGAGGCAGGUGGCAGACCUACUGAGUUAAAUCCCUGGUCCUUAGUGAUUAUUUUCUAGGAAUGAUAAGUUCAAAUGAAUAAGCAGAACAAAAUACUAAUGACACUUACUUUUCCAGGACAAAGCCAUCAUAGUUGAUAGUGUCACAUAUUAUAUGCAUGUCAAUACUAGUAGGGAGACCCAUGCAGAAGUAUAUCAAGGAAUUAGUUGCUGAUUAGAGCUUGUAGCUUUUGCUUCCUCAGUUUACAAAUAGUUUCCUACUGGGUAGGAUCAUGAAUUUCCUUUAUAUUCCAAAAAUUCUAACUAUUUCUGUUGUUUUUUUGUAUAAUUUCAUUCUUUCUUGUCAUGUGAAUACCUCUCUCUUAUUUGGGGCUCCAAUCACUACUGAGGGAGAAUUAAACAAAUGUUUUGAGCUGGCAGUGUUCUUAACUUCAGUUAAACUGUAGUUCAACACAGUGUUCUCUGAAAUUGCUUUAAUUUUCUGACUAGGAACUGUGAAUAUUUUUAUAGACCAUCCAAAGAAGGCUUGAUUUUGUUACUGGUGAUAGGAAGGAGUAGAAAGGAAAAAAUGAAUUUAAGUGAACAGUUCAUUUCAAUUUUAAAGUCACUAAGCAACUGAAAGGGGGUAUUUAUGUUAGACUAUAGGAAGAACAAUGACUUUAUACCAUCCUCAAAAAACCACCCACAUACUCACAUCCAGCAUCUCUCAUUCUCCAGAGAAUGUGGAGAGAAAAAGGAAGAGAAAUGCAAAAUAGACACUUGAGUGAAAAAUCCUAGAAAAGACAUAUCUGUAUUAGUAGACUUCUUGACUGAAGACAGGAAGAUAAAGAUCAAAACACUCUGGAUCCUGGUUGUUAUGGCUUGUGUCUAGAUGUUCCCCCAAAGCCUCAUGUGCUCAUAGAUGGGGCUUCUUGGAGGCGGUUGGAUCUAGGGUUUGUGAAUAUGGAUUAAGGGUGUAUGAUACUAAAUUAAUUCACUGAUUGGUUUAGCAUAGUUUUGGGUGUGGAUAAUAGGAAGGCCCAUCCUAGAUUUAGGUAGCAACAUCCAAAAGGCUCAUAGCCUGUAUGGGAUAAAAAGGAAAGGGAAGUUUGCUUUGCUGCUUGCUGCCUUCUGCUUACCCUGCCAUGGACUGUUUCUCCUCUGUGAUGUCCCUCUGCCAUGCUACCCUUCCUUGGAGCCAGUCAACUAUGGAGUAAAACCUCUAAAAGUUGUGAAUGGAAAUAAAUGUUUCCUCCUUUA